rnacentral:lncRNA from 1 species
UAUGAGGUAAGUCCUGCAAUUUAUUCAUCGCUUUCUUGGGUGUUAAAUUGGUGGUUUGCGCAUCCGCAUGAUCACCUCACAUGUUAGGAUGAUAAAUUAAAAUCAAUUCAAGCUGCCUGCAAAAUAUUUUUUCAAAUAAAAAAGAAAUGGUACCGAAAGGGCAUUAGAGAAAUCUAGUGUAACCAAGUCCCUGAACUCACAAUCUCUGGUUCGUAGGAGUGAAGUAAUUCUCCCAUUACUUUACUUGGGUUUCUAAUCGACCCACCAAAAAUAGAUUAGUGGCGACUCCAUGAUAAACAUCAUUUGCAUAUUAAGAACUUGAACCUAAGUCGCGAAUUGGUAUGGGCUUGGGAGAGCCCGAGUUAAGUCUAGG